CAGCCGCCGCGGUAACACGUAGGGGGCGAGCGUUGUCCGAAGUUACUGGGCGUAAAGCGCGCGUAGGCGGCUUCUUAAGUCUGAGGUGAAAGGUUCAACGCUUAACGUGAACAGUGCCUUGGAUACUGGGGAGCUUGAGUAUGGGAGAGGGCAGUGGAAUGGCUGGUGUAGCGGUGAAAUGCGUAGAUAUCAGUCGGAACACCCAUGGCGAAGGCAGCUGCCUGGCCUAAUACUGACGCUGAGGUGCGAAAGCGUGGGGAGCGAACGGGAUUAGAUACCCCUGUAGUCCCUGUCUCUUAUU
rnacentral:rRNA from 1 species